rnacentral:tRNA from 1 species
GGAGAGGUGGCAGAGUGGUCUAUCGCACCGGUCUUGAAAACCGGAGUAGGGAAACCUACCGUGGGUUCGAAUCCCACCCUCUCCG